AAUGCCACCGUCCUCGCUUGCCCACCCUCUACACGGCCGGCCGGCCGCCGCCGCCCACACCACCGCUCCUCCGCUCGGCCGCUGCCCCACAGAUGCGAUCGCCGUUGCCUCCGCAGCUCCUUCGCUAGGCUGCUCCCGCAUGGAUGCGGUCGCCGCCCCUCGUUCGGCUGAUGUGUGAUGUCCAGUCACCGCUUCCUCUGCUACGACGGGCCGCCGCCGACCUCCUCGGCCGAAAACCAUAGCCAUGGACCAAGCUCUGCCAGACCUUCUCUCGCGACUUCCGGCCUUCCUCUCGACCAGAUCGACAACGGGAUGCCCAGAUCUGACACGACGCCGUUCGUUUCCGCCUUGCCUAGCCGCACUGAGCAUCCGAACCACCUCCCCAGACAGCGCCGCCAUCGUCGCCAAGGCGGCGCCGGUCUCGGCCACGGCGCAGGAGGUGCCGUCGUCACCCUCCAUGUCGUCAUCUGGCUGGGCCGUCGAGGAUCUCCUGCAGUUCUCCCUACGGGCACCGUCAAGGGCACUGAUCGUCUAUCACAAAUCAAUCAGGCGAACCUUUAAUUCAAAUCAAUCUGGUGAUUUUUUUGGUGUGUUAUUAAUCAGCUUCCAUGGUAAGUAGUAGAGUUGGAGGGAUCCUCACGUUUUCAAUUUUUUGGUGCUAUAAUCAAUAAGAUCUCCGUCUGAUAUAGUAGCUUAUGAGCACACGUACCCCGCAGCAUCAAACAAAUACUCGGUUUCAGAGUUAAUUUCUGUAAGUCUGGCUUACCUAAAUACUCAUUUGAUUCACUGUUGGGUAAUUGAAUAGGGGUAAAAAAAGUGAGGUGCAACUCAAGCGAAUAAACAGUAGAAGAAUGAAGAAGUAAGCAGGGAGUGGAUGUAGAUCCUCCAAGGGAACAUCAAGGUAAGGCAUUAAACUGAAUUUGUGGCACUACUGAAUAUAUGAACUGGCUUGUUAGGACCAACUUAUCUGAAACUAAUGUGUGAAAAGCUGGACAGGGCGAAAUAAUUUGUAAGUAUAGUACAAAACUGUACGGAAAAUCUUAUGGCAAUUUUCCUAUUGAUGCUUCUAGGUACUGGUUGUGCCCACCUGUUGUGGGGUUGCUUCUACCUAAACCAUGUGGAUUACUCUUCGUACAAUUUUCUUGCAGUUAGUGUCGGGAACUCUGUGUACUUGUGAAAUGCAUGCAGCAACAAGGUCUGCCAACCAUUGUCAUUGUUGCAAGAUUACUUUUUUGAAAGUUGUAAAGAGAACGAGAGAUAGAACUAAGUAAGUUGCUCUAGCUCUCACCAAGCUAUGUCAUUGAGCAGGUCACUAAGCUUUGCUAUUCGGGUGCAUAUGACACUAAUUAUCCAGUGGGUUGGGCACAACAUGGCACUCAGCAGCCCGUAGGAAAGAAAUGGUUCUCUAAGUUGGGAUGGUUUUGUGAUUAAUUGUUGGCUUGUUGCCAUCAGAUUUACUUACAUGGUCAGCUUCCAGUGUUCAACUAUUAUAUGUAGCACCGCAGAUGCAUAUAUUACUAUUCAGUGUAUACUAAAGUUUUACUUUGCAGAAGAAAUGCAUGGCACAGAUGAUGUUACUUGCUGUUCUAGGUGUGGUGAUCUCAACAUUUUUGCUUGGCGCUGCUAUAAAGCUUACUUUUCCGUAUGAUUGGAACUGGAAAACAUCAUUCUUGUUCGGCGGACGCUCAGUGCAACCGAUCAUGUUACUAUGAUUGCUCUUCUAAAAGACCUAGGCGCAAGCAAAAAGCUCAGUACGAUAAUCGAAGGAGAAUCCUUAAUGAACGAUAGUGUUGCUCUGGGCCUUGCAUUUGGAAUCGCAUCUCUACUAUGGCUGGGCUUUAUUUUCGAUGGUACAAUCAUACAGAUUUCACUAACACUUGCAGUCAGAUAUAUGGCUUUCUUCACUGUAAGAUAAUCAGAUAACGGACAUAUCAAGGCUCUUAUAUUUCUAUUUUUAUCUCUAGAAGGACAUGAUUUUCUUAGUGUUUGGAAAUGGUUUUAAGCUUGAGUAAUAGAAUGGUUGUCAAGCAACCCUUUUUGCAACACUGGGAUGCUGUUUUAAUGGCUUGUGAUGGCAAUCCAGGGUUAUUUCUGGAUACAUUCAUGUGUGCCAAUGAGGUUUCCAUGUACUGAUGAUGUAAUAUUAGAUUUUUUAUCUUGUCAAUUUCUUACCCUGGCAGUACGACUAUGUACUCAGACUGCUAGAAAAGUGUAUUUUCUUUUAA